UACGUAGGUUGCAAGCGUUCUCCGGAAUUAUUGGGCGUAAAGCGCGCGCAGGUGGUUUCUUAAGUCUGAUGUGAAAGCCCACGGCUCAACCGUGGAGGGUCAUUGGAAACUGGGAGACUUGAGUGCAGAAGAGGAAAGUGGAAUUCCAUGUGUAGCGGUGACAUGCGUAGAGAUAUGGAGGAACACCAGUGGCGAAGGCGACUUUCUGGUCUGUAACUGACACUGAGGCGCGAAAGAGUGGGGAGCAAACAGG
rnacentral:rRNA from 1 species